UACGUAGGGUGCAGGCGUUAAUCGGAAUUACUGGGCGUAACGCGUGCGCCGGCGGUUUGCUAAGACAGGUGUGAAAUCCCCGGGCUUAACCUGGGAACUGCGCUUGUAACUGGCAAGCUGGAGUGUGGCAGAGGGGGGUGGAAUUCCACGUGUAGCAGUGAAAUGCGUAGAGAUGUGGAGGAACACCGAUGGCGAAGGCAGCCCCCGGGGCUAACACUGACGCUCAUGCACGAAAGCGGGGGGAGCAAACAGG
rnacentral:rRNA from 1 species